UCUUCGAUUUGGUUUUUUUCCUCCUGUUGUCAUAGGUCUAGUCAUACAACCAGCUAUGACGUAAGGAGCGGAAUGUUGGGCAAUCAAGAAGAGUACUUUGAAUAAAUUGAGUAUAAUGGAGAUGGGAAUGUUGCGAAGCCUAUGCUACAAGAACAAGAGAGAUACAGUAAAGAAUGAGCGUAUUAGAAAUGAUUUGGGAGUUGCACCAAUCCAAGACAAACUUUGUGAGAGCCGAUUGAGGUGGUAUGGACAUGUGUAACGGAGACCUAUGGAGGCCCUAGUAAGGAAGAGUGAUCAGAUUCAUUUAGAGCGAGUUAGAAAAGGUAGGGGUAGACCAAAGAUGACUAUUAAUGAAGUGGUGCGAAACGAUAUGCAAACCGUAGGGCUCGACUCUAGUAUGACUUUGGACAGAGUUACGUGGAGGACAAGGACCCGUGUUGCUGACCCCCUAUAGGGGAUGUUCCCAUGAUGCGUCUUUCUAUGUUGCUGUCUAGUGUUACAACCUAUGAAGUAAACAUUGACAUCAAUCAACAACAAGGAACAAGUGGAGCAAGUUGAGGUGGCUCAGGUUGCUAGAAGAAGAAGGCCACUUGGUUGGCUCUAAGACUAUGUUCAUUGUUGAAAGGUUAUACCUGUAAAUACUUACUAGUUGUUGGGACCACAUGCACAGGUGUUAGCUAUAGCUGAAUUAUUGUUAUUAGUUGUUGGGACCACAUGUACAAUUGUUGGCCAUAACUAAUUUCUCUGUAACGGAGUAAAGGAUUCUUGUAUGCUAUAAGUAGCUCUUGUAAAGAGGAAAUAAUAUAAAGACAUUUGUUCUCUUCUUCCUUA